rnacentral:lncRNA from 1 species
GUCGUUUUGAUCUUGUUUUGUACAAUAAUUACAGUCAACACAUGGACGACGUGACAAGCCAUCGGCAUUGCCAUGCUGUUUAUCCGGGCGAUGUUGUACUUUAAAUUGGUAGGUGUUUAAUACCUCAAGCCAUCUGGCCAUUUGACCUUCAGGAUUUUUAAACCUAAGUAGCCAGGUAAGAGCACCAUGACCUGUACGUAC